AAGCUAUUAAUUUUCAAUUGAAU
rnacentral:tRNA from 1 species